rnacentral:rRNA from 1 species
CCUACGGGAGGCAGCAGUGAGGAAUAUUGGUCAAUGGGCGGAAGCCUGAACCAGCCAAGUCGCGUGAGGGAAUAAGGCCCUACGGGUCGUAAACCUCUUUUGCCGGGGAGCAAGGGCGGGGACGUGUCCCGGCCCGGAGAGUCCCCGGAGAAAAAGCAUCGGCUAACUCCGUGCCAGCAGCCGCGGUAAUACGGAGGAUGCGAGCGUUACCCGGAUUUAUUGGGUUUAAGGGGUGCGUAGGCGGUUUGAUAAGUUAGAGGUGAAAUGUCGGGGCUCAACCCCGAAACUGCCUCUAAUACUGUUGGACUGGAGAAUAGUUGCGGUAGGCGGAAUGUGUGGUGUAGCGGUGAAAUGCUUAGAGAUCAUACAGAACACCGAUUGCGAAGGCAGCUUACCAAACUGUAUCUGACGUUGAGGCACGAAAGCGUGGGUAGCAAACAGGAUUAGAUACCCGAGUAGUC